rnacentral:rRNA from 1 species
AGGAUGAACGCUGGCGGUGUGCCUAAUACAUGCAAGUCGAGCGAAUGGAUUAAGAGCUUGCUCUUAUGAAGUUAGCGGCGGACGGGUGAGUAACACGUGGGUAACCUGCCCAUAAGACUGGGAUAACUCCGGGAAACCGGGGCUAAUACCGGAUAACAUUUUGAACCGCAUGGUUCGAAAUUGAAAGGCGGCUUCGGCUGUCACUUAUGGAUGGACCCGCGUCGCAUUAGCUAGUUGGUGAGGUAACGGCUCACCAAGGCAACGAUGCGUAGCCGACCUGAGAGGGUGAUCGGCCACACUGGGACUGAGACACGGCCCAGACUCCUACGGGAGGCAGCAGUAGGGAAUCUUCCGCAAUGGACGAAAGUCUGACGGAGCAACGCCGCGUGAGUGAUGAAGGCUUUCGGGUCGUAAAAYUCUGUUGUUAGGGAAGAACAAGUGCUAGUUGAAUAAGCUGGCACCUUGACGGUACCUAACCAGAAAGCCACGGCUAACUACGUGCCAGCAGCCGCGG